CAAAGCAAUAGUGCUAAGCAUCAUCAUGGCUCUCUCUUUUGGCUCCAUUCCUUUCCACUCACCAUAAAAGAAGACUUUGGAUUACCACUUCUCCUCCAAACACACAACAGAAAACCUAAAAUGGUUCCUCAAGUCAAGAUAUUCAUCAUCCUGCUUCUCCUUCUCUUUGAUAUUUCAGUAACAUCAGCUGAUAAUAACUACAAGGAAGGCAUGGAACUUAUUUACACCAGUGAUCAUAAGAUGAUUAAAGGGAGAAAGCUGCUUAUGGAACUUGAUGCAAUGUUGGAUUACCAGGAGCCAGGAGCCAAUCCUGGGCAUGAACCGCAUAAAGGAGGAGGUGGUGGCAAUAGAAGUGGUAGUCCUUGAACUAGCUUUUGAGCUCUUGUGAAAAAAUCUACAGGGAGCUAGGGAGAGAUGUCAUGCGUUUCUUAUAAGUGAGAUAAUUAUAUUAUUGAAGUGUGUGGAACUGUGAAUACCAUCAAUGUAUUUGGAAAUAUAAUUUUAAUUAGAAGCUUAAUUAUUGGAGGUGUGGAAAACCUGUGGUUGUUAUAGCAUACUACUACUGUAUAUGCUUAUCUUGAAUAACACCUAGAAUAACAGAUAAGCAAACUAUAUAUGUUGGUGUUAUAUAUGUAAUAUUGUGAUUAGUGUU